AACGCAGGCAGUCAGAAGAAAAAGUUGA
rnacentral:piRNA from 1 species